UCCAUGAGUCGCUGUUCUCGCGACUUUGCUUUCCACCUUCCCGGGCGACUGUGGCAACACCAUGCUUCUGAUUCAGCCCAUCCACUUAGCUGUAAAAAUAAGUUAAUCAGAACUGCCUGGCAUCUUCCUGAACAAGACUUUCAACAGUGCCCGGUAUGUUUCACUUCAUCCAGAAGUUUUCUCCAGCAUCUUCAAAGGACAGUCCAAGAAGGCCUGGAUGGAUCAGUGUUGCUGAGAGUCAAGGCUAUGGAAAAGUUUUGGACCCCCAGUGUCCACUUGAGACAGGCUACUCUGAUGUUAUGAUUGAGUCACACCAGCUUCUUGCUCC